GAUUUCAUACUUUAUACUUUACAUGUUUAUUAACCACCACCAGAGGGCGUGUCAUGAUGUAUAUACAACUUCCUAGGUCAAAGGCGGGUCGCCCUAUAGUGAUCAGUCUGUCCGUCCGUCCGUCCCCCUAUAGUGAUCAAUCUGUCCGUCCGUCCGUCCGUAACACUUUAACUUUAUGUCCGCUCCAUAUCUAGAGAACCAUUAUGAUUUCAUACUUUAUACUUUACAUGUUUAUUAA
rnacentral:lncRNA from 1 species